GACGAACGCUGGCGGCGUGCUUAACACAUGCAAGUCGAACGGUAAGGCCCCUUCGGGGGUACACGAGUGGCGAACGGGUGAGUAACACGUGAGCAACCUGCCCUUGACUCUGGGAUAACAGUUGGAAACAGCUGCUAAUACCGGAUACGACCCUGGACGACAUCAUCUAGGGUGGAAAGCGCUUUAGCGGUCAAGGAUGGGCUCGCGGCCUAUCAGCUUGUUGGUGAGGUAACGGCUCACCAAGGCUUCGACGGGUAGCCGGCCUGAGAGGGCGACCGGCCACACUGGGACUGAGAUACGGCCCAGACUCCUACGGGAGGCAGCAGUGGGGAAUAUUGCACAAUGGGCGCAAGCCUGAUGCAGCAACGCCGCGUGCGGGAUGACGGCCUUCGGGUUGUAAACCGCUUUCAGUUCCGACGAAGCGCAAGUGACGGUAGGAACAGAAGAAGGACCGGCCAACUACGUGCCAGCAGCCGCGGUGAUACGUACGGUCCGAGCGUUGUCCGGAAUUAUUGGGCGUAAAGGGCUUGUACGCGGUUUGUUGCGUCNGAAGUGAAAACUCAGGGCUUAACCCUGAGCCUGCUUCCGAUACGGGCAAACUAGAGGGAUGCAGGGGAGAAUGGAAUUCCUGGUGGAGCGGUGGAAUGCGCAGAUAUCAGGAGGAACACCGGUGGGCGAAUGCCGUUCUCUGGGCCUUUCCUGACCCUGAAAAACGAAAGCGUGGGGAGCAGACAGGCUUAGAUACCCUGGUAGUCCACGCGGUAAACGGUGGGCACUAGGUGUGGGGAACAUUCCACGUUCUCCGUGCCGAAGCUAACGCAUUAAGUGCCCCGCCUGGGGAGUACGGCCGCAAGGCUAAAACUCAAAGGAAUUGACGGGGGCCCGCACAAGCGGCGGAGCAUGCGGAUUAAUUCGAUGCAACGCGAAGAACCUUACCUGGGUUUGACAUAUGCCGGAAAGCUGCAGAGAUGUAGCCCCCGCAAGGUCGGUAUACAGGUGGUGCAUGGCUGUCGUCAGCUCGUGUCGUGAGAUGUUGGGUUAAGUCCCGCAACGAGCGCAACCCUCGUCCUAUGUUGCCAGCGGAUAAUGCCGGGGACUCAUAGGAGACUGCCGGGGUCAACUCGGAGGAAGGUGGGGAUGACGUCAAGUCAUCAUGCCCCUUAAGUCCAGGGCUUCACGCAUGCUACAAUGGCUGGUACAAAGGGCUGCAAAACCGCAAGGUCGAGCGAAUCCCAAAAAGCCAGUCUCAGUUCGGAUUGGGGUCUGCAACUCGACCCCAUGAAGUCGGAGUCGCUAGUAAUCGCAGAUCAGCAACGCUGCGGUGAAUACGUUCCCGGGCCU
rnacentral:rRNA from 1 species